UGGAAGAAUCCAUUGAAGGGUUUAGGUAAACUGUCUGGGACCUGGAAGAAUCCAUUGAAGGGUUUAGGUAAACUGGGACCUGGAAGAAUCCAUUGAAGGGUUUAGGUAAACUGUCUGGGACCUGAAGAAUCCAUUGAGGGUUUAGGUAAACUGGGACCUGGAAGAAUCCAUUGAAGGGUUUAGGUAAACUGGGACCUGGAAGAAUCCAUUGAAGGGUUUAGGUAAACUGUCUGGGACCUGGAAGAAUCCAUUGAAGGGUUUAGGUAAACUGUCUGGGACCUGGAAGAAUCCACUGAAGGGUUUAGGUAAACUGUCUGGGACCUGGAAGAAUCCACUGAAGGGUUUAGGUAAACUGGGACCUGGAAGAAUCCAUUGAAGGGUUUAGGUAAACUGUCUGGGACCUGGAAGAUUCCAUUGAAUGGUUUAGGUAAACUGUCUGGGAGAUAUGAGUAUUGAUGAAAGUGCAUAAUUGGCGUACAUUAAUGUCCUAAAUAGACAAGAUAUUGAGUUUCUUAAACAAAGGUGCAGAUGGAGCCAGGUAAUUAGAGGAGGUGGCUAGUCUUGCACAUUUCUUUUGUAUGAUGAGUAAUUUGUGUAGGUAGAAGGCAUAUCUACUGGCCCAGACAAUAUUACAAUAAAUGAGAUAUGGGUAAAUGAAGCUCUAGUAUAGAGUUAGGAGGCCUGAUGAACCAAACCACUCAUCUAUCUGAUAUCAACACACUUCAUCACUUUACUGCAGACUGAAUGUGAUCUUUCCAGGAUAACUGUUCAUCUAUUAAAACUCAGAGGAAUCUAGUGGAUGUGACUUGUUCCAUUUCAUUCCAACCAAUUGA